rnacentral:rRNA from 1 species
UUGAACGCUGGCGGCAGGCCUAACACAUGCAAGUCGAGCGGAUGAAGGGAGCUUGCUCCUGGAUUCAGCGGCGGGCGGGUGAGUAAUGCCUAGGAAUCUGCCUGGUAGUGGGGGAUAACGUCCGGAAACGGGCGCUAAUACCGCAUACGUCCUGAGGGAGAAAGUGGGGGAUCUUCGGACCUCACGCUAUCAGAUGAGCCUAGGUCGGAUUAGCUAGUUGGUGGGGUAAAGGCCUACCAAGGCGACGAUCCGUAACUGGUCUGAGAGGAUGAUCAGUCACACUGGAACUGAGACACGGUCCAGACUCCUACGGGAGGCAGCAGUGGGGAAUAUUGGACAAUGGGCGAAAGCCUGAUCCAGCCAUGCCGCGUGUGUGAAGAAGGUCUUCGGAUUGUAAAGCACUUUAAGUUGGGAGGAAGGGCAGUAAGUUAAUACCUUGCUGUUCUGACGUUACCAACAGAAUAAGCACCGGCUAACUUCGUG